rnacentral:rRNA from 1 species
UUCCUACGGGACGCAGCAGUAGGGAAUAUUGCUCAAUGGGGGAAACCCUGAAGCAGCAACGCCGCGUGGAGGAUGAAGGUUUUCGGAUUGUAAACUCCUUUUGUUAGAGAAGAUAAUGACGGUAUCUAACGAAUAAGCACCGGCUAACUCCGUGCCAGCAGCCGCGGUAAUAAGGAGGGUGCAAGCGUUACUCGGAAUCACUGGGCGUAAAGAGCGCGUAGGCGGAUUAGCAAGACAGCUGUGGAAUCCUAUGGCUUAACACUAAAACUGAAUU